rnacentral:rRNA from 1 species
GUGGGGAAUUUUGGACAAUGGGCGCAAGCCUGAUCCAGCAAUGCCGCGUGCAGGAAGAAGGCCUUCGGGUUGUAAACUGCUUUUGUACGGAACGAAACGGUCCUGGUUAAUACCUGGGGCUAAUGACGGUACCGUAAGAAUAAGCACCGGCUAACUACGUGCCAGCAGCCGCGGUAAUACGUAGGGUGCAAGCGUUAAUCGGAAUUACUGGGCGUAAAGCGUGCGCAGGCGGUUUUGUAAGACAGGCGUGAAAUCCCCGGGCUCAACCUGGGAAUUGCGCUUGUGACUGCAAGGCUGGAGUGCGGCAGAGGGGGAUGGAAUUCCGCGUGUAGCAGUGAAAUGCGUAGAUAUGCGGAGGAACACCGAUGGCGAAGGCAAUCCCCUGGACCUGCACUGACGCUCAUGCACGAAAGCGUGGGGAGCAAACAGGAUUAGAUACCCGAGUAGUCC